GGCCUAAUGGUCUAGUAGUAUGAUUCUUCCUUCGGGUGUUUCCCGGUCACUACAGUGACUCCAUUGGAAGAGGUCCUGGGUUCAAUUCCCAGUUAGGCCC